rnacentral:lncRNA from 1 species
UUCCUUGUAAACCAGAUUUUGGACUCUGCAGGCUUUGCCAAAUGGCCUUUUUACCCUCAUGUAUAUUGCAUUUUCUUUGGAUAGUCUCAUGGAUUCUCAAGGAUAUUGUAUUCCUGUAUUUUACCAUUCAUGAGUUUAGAAGUGUGUUUACUUUCCUGAGUUUUCAUUUUCUUUUUCUUCUGUCAUAUGUAAUUUACAGAGCAAAUACCUACCAGAACGGAUAACUUGAGAGAUGUGGAAAGAUCUGGAGCUCAGGACCCACUACCUCCCCGGCCCACUGCAAGCUUGAACAUUUGAUGGUGGACACCCCUCCCUGACUUUGUAUUAUGGUCCAGAUUUUGGAUGAAUCUCUAUAAUGGAGAUUGAACAGUGUCACUGGCGUGGGGGUUACCUUCCCACUAUGUCCCCCAGAAGACAUGAGGCCACAGACUGCAGUGCCCGUGGACAGAGGAGCUGUGGGGAUGGAAGUGUGAUUGCUUCAUUCAAAUGCACGCCCCGGUGCGUGUGCGUCUCUUCUGAUGCAGCGCCCCAUGGAUACCCCAUCAGCCUGAGUCUCUUAAAGGCCUUUAUACACACAUGUCUACACAUAGGGAUUUGGAUUAUCUCGGGAUCCCACAUCCUCGCUGUCCCCUGUCCCCCCGCAACAUCCCCCACCAAUACCUUUCUGAAGUUUUCUAGUCCCUCCUUUUUGUUUGUGCUCCUUAAAGCCCAGCCCCAUGCCUGACUUUGGUUCCCAGUGAGCAUUGUACAUUUGUGGAUAUUAAAUCUUUGGCAAAGUCAUUUACCUGGGC